GCGCGGCUGCGAGCCCAGGCGUCGCCGCAGCGGUCGGGAGCCGCUACCUGUCCCACCCAGGGACUCAAUCCACCUGAGACCUGAGGCGGGGGCGGGGAGGCCCCGAGCGCCCUGCGCCGUCUCGUCUGCGGCCGGCGGCCAGAAGAUGGGCUUCGGAAGUAGGAAGGGAGGACCAGAGGGACAGGGUGUGAAGGAAGCCGUUCCCGCGUGUCCCUCUCCUCGCGCCGGGGCUGCCGCCUGUCCUUCGGCUCAGAGCCCAGGCUUCCUCCCGGCCGCUGCGGGCGCCCUCAGCACGACUGUGCGUUACGCUCCCGAAGCGCUUUAAAGUGCGCGGUCCGCCAGCUUUGCCUACUGAUCUUCGAGCCGCCCUUUGAAGGAAGCAAUUGCAGAUUUGGACUGCCCUUCCCUGGCCCAGCUCUGCAGCCACCCACAGUUCUUUCUCAUGACGAGGACGUCCCCACACUCGUCCUCAGAUGGCAGGAAGAUCUCAGCCUGGCUUGCCACGUACUCUUGCACUGGGCCACGCUGGUGGAGCCGUCAAAGUCAGUGCUUGUGUUUCCUGGACAGCGGGUGCAGAAGUUCUGUCGGAAGUCAGGCUGAUAGGACCCCAUGGCGCAGCGGAUACAGCGGUGGAUGCUGGACCCCAACUGCCCCCAUUGAAACUGCAAUUGCAACUUUGGCCAGCAGAGGACACUGCCCACCUGUGCAAUCUUUGCCGUUCCAGUGCAGCCGGCCCUGACCUGCUGGGCAGGUACACUGGUAGCUGCCUGGUGUGUUGAUACAGCCAAAGCGGCAACCUCCCCGGUUGAUGCUGCAUUCAUCCACAUCUAAGGAUGGCGAUAAGCUGGCUGUUUUGUUGUUUUACUUUGCUAAUGGGAAGAUAUUGUAUAGGUGAGGGGAGGAGGCAAAAGAAGAAAAAUCCAGAGAAGGAAGGAGAUGAAAAGAAGAGUAAACCAAGAUCAGAGAGGAAAGCAGCUUGCCUGAGGUCAUACAGUUAGAAGUGGCAGAGCCAGGAUUCAAACUCGGGUCUGUCUGAAUGCAAAUGCCAUGCUCAUAACCAUUAUGGGGGAGAGAAUGAAAGCAAGAGUGUGGAUUCGUUCCGAGGAAGGCUGGGGGAGAAGGCCUUGAGAUCCUUUGCAUGGCAUGAGGGAUGACCGCUGAGAUGGAAGCACGUAGAUCAUGGGAAUGGUAUGGAGGCUGCAGAAAGGUUGGGUCAGACGAUCUCCUAGGUCCCUUCCAGCCCUGUCACUCUAAGACUCCCCUCUCUUUCAUUCCACUGGCAAACCCCUCCCCUUGUAGCAGCUUUGCCUGCUGCUACCAAUUAUGUGUAGGGCUGGAGGACAAGUGCAAACUUGCUAUCCUCUUUGCCCCAAACAAGAGAGUGGUUAAAAGAAAGAAAGGAAGAAAGAGAGAAUUGGAGGUUGCCAGAAGGUGCCUGUGAUCUACAUGGGGCACGGGGAGAGAGCUGGGGAGCUCCCCAUGGCUGGGAGGGGAGAUUAAGCUCUGCCUUGGUUUGCUCUGUCUCUGGCUUCCUUGGACCUUGCACCUCUGGGUCUCUGGGGAGAGGCGGGGAGGGGCUCCAGCCCACCUCCUACCCGUCAGCUGAGGUGGGCAUGGAAGGUUCUAUAGGAGCAGGUUAUCUGGGACCAUCUCUCCAGUGUGAUUUUCUGGUCCCCUGAAUGGCCAUUGCCCUGGCUUUCAGGGAGGGAGGCUCAGGUGGGUUGCCCUACCUAAGCCACUGUGUCUCUGAAGACUAGGGAUCUUUUUAUUUCGUCCUACCAGUUUUCCUCUGAUCAUUUCCUUUUCUUCUCUAGGAUGAGGUGAGCUCCUCCUCCACAUCUGGGCAGAAGAGGCAGUUGCCGGCUCUCCCCCCCCCCAAAAUCUGGUUCCAGCCCACUCCUCCCUUCAGAGGAUUCUAUGGGAGUAGAAGCAGGGCUUGUAUCACUGGGGCACUGUGAAUUGGGGUGCUGGUCACAUUGCCCUCUGUCCCAUGCACUUCUGCAGGGACUUAGUUGGCCAGUAAUUCAGGUGGAUGACAAGGAAGGGACAGUGAACAGUAGCAUCUGCCAUAUCAUAACCAACAGGGGCAAAGCGCCCAGUGUCUCUGGACCUCCCACAUUCAUCUCUCAGGCUGCAGUUUGCUUCACUUUCCUUCAGGGGUGCUUCCGACAUUCAUUUCACUCUAAUUCCUCCUGUUUGGGGAGAAGACUGGAGGAGCGGGCCCGUAGCUGAUAGAUCUCAGUUCAGGUCCUGCUCAGGGAUACGUCUGCCAGGCCCCACCACACCCAGGGACUUCCCCUCUCCUGCCAAAUCUCCUAUAAGCUCUGCUUUUUCUCUCUGCGCUCAGCUUCCCAAUAUGUAAAUCAAGGCCAAUGACCCUAGCUUGACAGACAGGCAUAGACUACUGGAGAGCAUGUACCAGCUGCAGCAAGACUGCCCCAGGGUCAGUGUUGGGCCCUACCAUUUCCCAGACACCUAUCUACUCUUGAUGAGUUAUUUCACUUCUAGGAGCCUCAGCUUCUUCAUCUGGAAAAUGGGUAUGGUCAUUUGACUCAAAUGUGAUAUGACUCAGUGUCUACCUGUAUGGGCUCUAUCUAAACAAACCUGUGGGUCAAAUCUCAGCUCUGUUACUUUCUACCUGUGUGACUUCAGGCAAGUUACUCAACCUUAGUGAACUUCAGUUUCCUCAUCUGACAAAGUGGAUGAAAACCUACAGGUUAUGGUGUUAAUUAAAUGAGAUAAUGUAUAGAAAACACCUAGCACAUAGUAGAAACUCAGCGGGGGAGGUAAUUGUAGUUGCUUCGCAGAAGGAACAAAGACCACAGCUUUGACGGUAGAGGUACAGUAGUGCUUGGGAGGAAGCAGCUUUGCCCUGGAUCAGGCUUUGACGCUGCUGGGUGUAUGUGACCCCAAUGGGGUCAAAUCUCACUACCCCUAACAGGUUCCUGUCUGUCACACAUUCUUGCUGAAAAGGUUUCAAAAAUUCCAUGCAUUCCAGCACACUGCCCUUGUCAGCAGCACUUCCAUUUGUACUGCCUUGCAUCUUCUAAUCUGCCUUAGGAAGGUAUAGACACUCUGAGACACAAAUUAGAGCUCAUAGGUACCACGUGCCAGGCACUGUACCGGGCACUUCACCACAAGCCUAUGCGGCAAGACUUGUUAUCCCUAUUUUAUUGAUGGGAAAACAGGCUCAGGUAGAUUAACUUGCCCAGAAUGACAGACUAAGAAGGGACAAAGCCAGCACUCAGGCCCAGUCCUGACUCUGAAGCUUGUAUACCUCUUCUGCUGUCUAUACUGCCACCUCUGAAUCCACAGAAUCACAACACAUCCUUACCACUCAUAAAGCCUGAUCAUGUGCGGCAGGCCAAAGGUCGCUGAGCAGCUCCUUCACGUACAGGGCACUAGCCUUGCUCUGGAGGAUCAUGCAGCAGUAGAACUGCAGAAGACUGUAGCUAUCACCUCUGUGUGAUGAUGAGAGAUCACGCGACUUGCCCAAGGGCACACAGCAUAUUUAAGAGGCAAAGCUAGAAGCAAAAUCCAUGUCUCCCCUGGCUCUGACUUCCAGAUCAGUACUCCCUAGCCCAUAUCCUAGAGCUGUCAGGACCCCCUUCUGCUUCUUGCUCUUUCUCUUCAUGAUGAUUUGACCAGUCAUCAAUCCUUCCACCAGGUGACAUGUGGUACUUAUCUCAUACCUUCCCUGCCACUGUCCUAUGCCCUCUAGGAGAUGCAAAAGAAAUAGGAAAUGUGACUCCGCUGGUGGAGGUACAGUACCAGUGUAUGGUUCUGGACCCUUCCAUAUCACAAGGCAAACCCUCCAGAUGAAAUGCGUCUUAGCAGGUAGGCAAGGUUUACAGAACAUCUGAAUGCAUGACAUUCAGAAUGUGACAUUGAAGGCCCAGAGAGAAAGUGCCAUAGAAAGUCAGAGGAAACAGAAGCCAGUCAUCCAAGAAAGCUUCAUGGAUGAGGGGUGAUUUGGGCUGAAGCUCAACGACUCUUAAACAGAGAGAAAUAUAAAGACAGAAACAUAAACAAAAUCAGUGAUUGACAGAGGGAGAGAAAAUGAGAAUACUCAGAAUGACAGCAGAAGAAAUAAAGGAGGGAGGGAGGGGAUCUUGCUGGGUGGAUGGACAGGUUGACCCUGGUCAGUCCUUGUUUCACACUGUUCAUGAUGGCUCGGGCGUCAUUUUGACUUUUAUAGGCGGAAGAUCAGAAGUAACCCUCUCUCAAAGGCUGUUUCAGCCCCAGGAUUCUAGGAGUACCUUGCUCCAAGACCUUUUGGUCUUGCCCUCACAGACAGGUCCACAGGCAGCCCUCUGGGACUUGGGGAGAGGUAACCCAGUCCGAGCUGCCCACACCUGUUCCAACCUUCUCUGGCCACUCUGACCACCUCUUGAUUAGCUCCCCGGGCCCCUCACCCUGUGUCAGCCACCCCUCCUCCCUCCUCCCACCCCUACACCUGAGUCACUUUGCCAUCUGCUUCUUCCAGACAGCCCUGGCCCCUUCCACAGAGCUGCCUGUCCAAACUCCGCUUCCUCCAGACGGCCCCAGCCCCCGGGCUUCUCCGGUCGGUGCCCUCAACUCCUCUUUGAGAAGCCAGAAACCAUUUGGCAUGAGCCUCCUAUCCCCUGCCCCGUCUCCCUCCCCCGCUGGGAGAGGGUCCCUCCUUGCAGCCAAGCCCAGUAGUACCACAUGUAUGUACAGGGUCCCACCCAUCCUGGCCCUCCAGUGAGCCCGCUCUGCCACUUACCCCCUGCCAGAUCCUCUCACUUUGGCUGCUUCCCCUCAUUCCGUAAGUGCAGCUGUCCUCCAGAAGUGACAGCUAACUUCUCCACACCCCGCUGCCUCUCGUCUUCCUUUGCGCCCAAACCUCUCAGAGGAGUACACCUGCGCUAGUCUCCACCUCCCUGCUUCCCUUUCACCCCUGGCAGUCUGGCCCAGUCCCCCUCUGACACCCCUCCGCAAGGUCUCCAGUGACACCCACAUCUCCCCAUCUAGGGCGGCCUGCCAGUCCUUAUCUAGCCUGACCUCUCUGCCUCACCCAGAACCUCUGGACCUUUUCCUUCCCCCUCUCGGAGCACUUUCUUUUCCUGCUUGUCCUGCUGGCUACCCUCCCUCCACCGGCCUCUUAAACGAGGGAGAGUUUGGGCUUCUAGAUUGGCUCUUGUCACUUCUCACACUACACGACCUCCCUCAGUGCUCUCUCUGAGAGACACCAAGGGUGGUGGGGAGAAUAUCAGCCAGACAGCCCCAAGUUUAAAUCCCAGCCCCAUCUAAGGGUAAGCUCGGGCAAGUCGCUUCACUCCUUUGAACUUCACCUUCCUCAUCUGGAAAACAGGGAGGAUAAAAUUCCAACCUUUGGAAUUUGGGUUGCUGCAGUGUUACUGGUGACGGCUUGUGGAAGACCCAGCACAAAGGUGGGCAGCCGCUAGUAGGCCACCUAGGAGGGCAUCACGGUCCAGCCCCCACCGACAUGCUGAUGGCCCUCAAAUCUAUAGCCCAACCCAGCUUUUUGUCUAGUGUAAUUAUGUAUGUCCGGUUUGCAGAUCUAUAGCUCUUUAGCUCCCUCCUUUCUUUUCUAUCUAGUCUUAUAUUUCCACCUACUUAUAGAUACUGCCAAUAGUAUUUUUCAAGACCUCAAGCUGAACCUGCCCCCGACUGAACUCAUUGUUCCUCUCAACACUCUCCCCUGCCCUGUCUUCUUCCUCCCAUCUCCAUCUUGAGGUUAAUGGUCUCAUAACCCACUUAGUGGUCCCGGCUGGAUUCCUUAGAGCCCUUCAUGACUCUGUCCUCCUCUCCAUCUAACAGGCCAUCAGAUCCUGAGGGUGCAACUUCCAAACCCUCCCUCAAAUCCACCCCUCCUCUCCAUCCCUCUUGCUGCUGCCAUAGUUCAGGCACUUGCUCUGUAUCCUAGGGACCAUUGUCUGGUACAGCCAAGUCCUAACUCCUUGGCACGGCAUACGUGUUCCUCUGUGCCAGUCCUGAGUCUCUCUCUCCAAUGACAUGUCCUUUUUCUCUUCUGAGUCACAAGCACCAUGUUCUUGUCAGCUGGAAAGCCACUACUACCUUUUAAGAUCCAGCUUAAAUGGUACCUUGUUUGUGAAGUCUUCUUACUUCCCCAGCAAACUUGGAGCUCAGUGGUCCUUGAAACCUACCCCAGUGAUGGCCCUGGCCAGGCUGUACGGUAAUAGUCUGCUUAUCUUCCACUAGUCUGUCAAACCUUUGAGGGCAAGACCCAUAUGGGUCACUACUAAAUCCCCAAUCCCAAGCAUAUUUCUGGCACAUAGUUGUGCUCAAUGAAUGUUUGUUGAAUGACUGAAAGAAUCAAGGAGUGGUGAGUUCAUGCAAACCCCACGAAGAAGUAGAGCAUUCCCUGACCUCGUCUCCCUGUCUCCACCAGUCUGAGGGUGCUUCAGGUUGCCUAAAGGACCAAAGGAAGCAGAGGUUGUGGAGUGGAGGGCAGUGUGGAAACCCUAAGCUGAAGAAAGACCAUGGAGAUGCAGGGGACCUGGGGGGACUCUGGCCAGACACUCUCGGAUUCUGGAAGACAAAGAGGCAUAGCUAGACCCUUCCAAGCCAGAGCUCAGGAUCUCCCCAAAGGUCUAGAGAGUUGGGUGAUGGCAGCCUGGAUAAAGAGCCAGAGGCAGGAGACUGGGCAAGAAGCAGCUUGAGUGAGCAAAGGCCUGGGCCAAAGCAGCUGGAGAGGGGUCCACAGGCAGCUCGCAUCUGAACUCUAAGGAGGCAGACCCAGGAGGCAGAACCCUGACUGAGGCCAUUUAAAAGUCCCUGGGGGGUUCUCUGCCACCUCAUCAAAGAUCUUUCCUAUUGGUUCUUAAAAUGCCAUCAUUAGAGAGUUACUUCUUUGAGCUAAACCUUAUGUUCUUUGGCCCCUAAUACAAAUAUCCUCAUGAGAGAGGAUGACAGGAUUAAGACUUUGCCAGUUAAAACUUCAGUUAUCAGUUGACGCCUUAACAAAUGUGUCUGAGUGGCAGAGGAGGGGGCUAUAGGAACUUUCAUAAUGAACUUCCAAACUUUGCUGAGAGCUGGCUUGGCUUCCCUCCCCCAGAUCCCUACUGGUUUUCCACCCCAGAGGAGAAGAUGGAGAGGUGGAGAAGGACCUCUUUAUCUACCAAUAUCAUAUCAUUCUUUUUUUUUUUUUUUUAUACAAAGUCUCACUCUG